AAAAAAAAAAAAAAAGGAUCAAUCAACAUCUAUACUGGUUCUAACAUGGGGGAUCCACAUGGAGCUAUAAAAAUCAUUAGGGUUUGCACUCAGCUCCCAACAGCCCCCAUGGAUGUCGUAGUUGAUACGGUAAAGGAAUCUUCUAAACAUGUGUCCCAGUUAAUUAAUCCUAGAAAACCUCCUCUAACGUGCUUACAGCUCAUUAAUCUAUCACUUACUUUACUUCGUCAGCUGGCCAGUUCUACCUUGCCUUUGGCCCUUUAUCAACAAGAGUAUUUUGUUUGUGCUCCCCUUCAGGAACCUCCCAUUGCUGCUACUCUACUCUCCAAUAUCUCUGCUCUGACAAACACCUGUACUCCCUGUCCUCAGGGUUGUCGGUCAUCUUCCUUUACAUUCAGGAGGACAGAAUGCAGCAUGCUGGGUUACAAAUGUGGCCGCAGAACACAAUGAACUUGUACGUCACAACAUUCCUUGUGUUACCAACAUGACCGUCAAUUCCCUGUCUAGCCCACUUGGGACCUCAUUCCUCUGCAGUCAUACUCUCCAAUCCUGCAUCAGUGACUCUACCCCCGGCCCUUGUGUAUUGCUGGUCCUCUCCCCUCACUUAAUGUUGUAUAAUUAUUCAGAAUUCUUUCUACAGACAAUCCCCUCUACGAGCGGCCCUUCUCCCGCUUCUGGCUGGGAUCAGCCUCGAAGCCUCCUUCUCCUCAGCAGUGACUUCAGGAACACCUUUGGGCCACGACGUUACCUCGACCAACCAACUCCAAGAACAACGCCAGCAGUUACAACAGAUCACCAGGCCCACCAGCCUCCUCUCACUGGGAUGACCCUUUCACACUGCCAGCUGAGACACUGGAAGCUCAUCUGCCUGCACUGCUCUGUGUCUGCGGAUUCGAACCUCUUCCGGAGGACACCUCCCUGACGCCACCCUGCCUUCUGACAAGGUGGGCCCCCACUCUGCUAGCCAUUCUCGGCAUCUUUUAGGCAGUUGCGACUCCCUCUGGUCUGGUGUUAUGCUGGGGCAGUGGCCGCAUCCUGGAGCAAAGUUCUUUGAGGCACAAGUCACUACUUUAAAUAACUUCAGAAGCAGUGAUGGAAUGAAGAAAACAGAAUACUACACACAAGUCACUGCUGGAGAAAGCUCAGCCCCCAGACGAGGCAUGAGGUGCCUGUGCCCUGCCCCAGCCCCUGGCCCUCCAAUGUCCGCAGUGUUUCAGUCCAUUUCAGGAACAAAGGAUGGCCUGCAGCAGGCCCUGGAGGCCACCAUCACCUGUGUGAUGGGUGAGCAUGAGAUCCCCUAGGGGCCCAGGCACACACAGGCUAUGGACCUCACAGUGGCGGCCUUGGUUGUGAUCAUGCUAGGUUCUGUGAUCCAUGGUCGGCCUCCAACCAGCUGCUUUCACAAAUAAUGGGGACCAGCCAUUUCUGUUUUGUUUUAUUUUGCAAAUAAAAUGUCCUUGUACGCUUGA